UACAGAGGGUGCUAGCGUUGUUCGGAAUCAUUGGGCGUAAAGGGCGUGUAGGCGGUUUGUUAAGUCAUGUGUGGAAUCCCUCGGCUCAACCGGGGAACGACGCAUGAAACUGGCAAGCUAGAGUACCAAAGAGGGGGGUGGAAUUCCCGGUGUAGCGGUGAAAUGCGUAGAUAUCGGGAAGAACACCAGUGGCGAAGGCGGUUCUCUGGGACGGUACUGACGCUGAGACGCGAAAGCGUGGGGAGCGAACAGG
rnacentral:rRNA from 1 species